rnacentral:rRNA from 1 species
GAUGAACGCUAGCGACAGGCCUAACACAUGCAAGUCGAGGGGCAGCACGAAGUAAGCUUGCUUACUUUGGUGGCGACCGGCGCACGGGUGCGUAACAGGUGUGCAAUCUGUCCAUAAUCGGGGAAUAGCCCAGCGAAAGUUGGAUUAAUGCUCCAUGUGAGUAAGAGAGGCAUCUCUUUUAUUUGAAACGCAAGGAUUAUGGGUGAGCACGCUUCUGAUUAGGUAGUUGGUGAGGUAACGGCUCACCAAGCCGACGAUCAGUAGGGGUUCUGAGAGGAAGGUCCCCCACAUUGGAACUGAGACACGGUCCAAACUCCUACGGGAGGCAGCAGUGAGGAAUAUUGGUCAAUGGGCGGAAGCCUGAACCAGCCAAGUCGCGUGAAGGAUGAAGGUUCUAUGGAUUGUAAACUUCUUUUGUCUGAGGGUAAAAAAGCGGACGUGUCCGUUCUUGCAAGUAUCAGACGAAUAAGCAUCGGCUAACUCCGUGCCAGCAGCCGCAGUAAUAC